UUCUACUCUGAUAUGUGCUGCCCUAAAUUUAUCUCAUUGUUCUGGCCGUUCACUCCAUUUCACAGGGAACACGAAAUCCUAACUACCAAGAAUCGCAUUAACAAUCAACCUAAUAUGGUGUUAUUCAUUGAUUCUUGCUACCAAUUUCUAAUUCUCGAUCCUAGCCUGAUUACUUCUCUGUUUGAUUCUUCAAAAUGCUCUAAUCAUCCAAGAAGUCGGCCUCUAAGCAUCAGCUACCAAAUCAACCCGAAAAAAAGGUUAUCUGAAGUUGACGAGUCACCGGUGUCUGUUGUAGUUGUUUUGCUUUGUUGCCUGCAUUACUCAUUGCACUAGUGUUUUGACUUUGAACAUUCAAGAUGGCGUGAUAUUAAGUUACGCGCUUCUGAUGAUGCAAAGCAUUGAACUUUUGUUGACCCGGAGGGCGAUGAACGUCUGUUGCUAUUGCGUAUAGAUUAAGAAUUGAAGCUAAUCUCAUCGGCAACAUUCUGGCGCUUCUGCUUCUAGCCACCAUUGUUUGACGCAUGGCUGCUAAGGAAGGAAUAGGGUGAUGAAAUUUAUAUUUAUUUAUCUGGUAAUAUAGCUCAUAUGUAUCUGAAAGGUUACAAAUUAUAUUUCUUUUUACCUUUUAUAUUUAUAAGUUAUUCUAUGAAAGUAUGAGUUACAAUAUAGUUUGAAAGUUUGGAACAAGUGAACAACUAUGCAAUGACCCGUUGUUCGAUAUGGAUGCUACUGGAAAUGAAGCUCAGAUCAAAGACGAGCAAACAAGGACGAUUUUGGUGGAAAAGUUGAGAUCUAAUAAUUGCUAAAGCAAUGUUAAUUUUCUCGUAUUUGGUAAUAAUCUUUGUACUAUUGUAUUGGUUUGUACUAUGCUUAUUUGGUUGUAACCAACUAGAAUAUAUUAAAGAAUGAAUGCCUAAAGAUAAGCAUUACAUGUUGGUCCAAGAUUAUGUUUAAAUUCAAUAAGAUAUUUCCAUAUUAUUAGCAUACUAUAAAUUAGCAACUUUUGGUUGCAUUGUAUGUUGUACCCCAAGCUUUGGGGAUUU
rnacentral:lncRNA from 1 species